AAAUAGGAUUAAUUGAAAAAUGGGGGCUGGUGAGACAAAUCGAGGGGUAAAAAUAGAGCUGGCAAAACGAGUCAUCGGGUCAUGUUCGUGUCGUGUCAGCUUCGUGUCGUGUCAAAUUUAGGUCGACCAAACCCGACCCAUUUAAUAAUCGCGUCCAAAUAUUGAGACCCAAACCCGACACGAAAAAAUAAUCGGGUUACCCAAUAACCCGUUUAAUAUCUAUAUAUUGAACAAAAAUUACAUCAAAUAUUUACACACUAUCAUACAUACGUAUGUACAUAAACACAUACAUACAUAAUUUAUCAAUAUUAUAAAAUAUACAUAUCUACCAAUAUAUUACACAUUUACACUAUUGAGAUUUAAUUAUAUAUAUAUAUAUAUCAAUAUAUAUAUAUAUAUAUAUAUAUAUAAUAUUAUAUAUCAAUAUUAUAAAAUAUACAUGUCUAUCAAUUUUUACACAUUUACACUAUUGAAGUUCUAAAUGUAUGUAAAAUUUUAUAAAUAAAACACUGUGUUUAUAUUCACCCUUUUAAAGAAUAAAAAAAGAAAAUCAUCUCUAAUAUUUGAGUUUUAAUUAUAAGAAUAUGUAAAUUAUUUUAAAAUAGAAAAUAUAAUCGGGUAAUUGAUCGGGUAAAUGGGUUAAGAAUUUUAACCCAAACCUGACACGGAAAAAAUCGUGUUGACCCGGACCCAACCCAUUUAAUAAUCGUGUUAAAUUUGACAACCCAUACCCAUUUAUUUAUGUCGUGUUCGUGUCGGAUAAUCGGGUCGUGUCAAAUUUUGACAGCUCUAGGUAAAAAGAUCACUAGUCUAGUAAAACUCUUGGGCCUGACUCAUUUUACACGGGCGUUGUCCGUUUAAUAAGCUUUUGUUAGAACAAAAGCCUACCUUUCUUUAAAAAAAAAAAAAAAAAAAAAAAAAAGCCUACCUGUUUUAUAAUAAUGGCAUUUGGCAAGUCGUUCAUAUAGUUAUUUAACAGUCGACAUGUGAUUUAUAUAUUAAGUUACCGGCCUACAUGUCUUCUCAUUUGUUUGGGGGAGAAAAAAAAAAAGCAACAACUAUAUAUUAGCAGGUGGAAGUAUUAUUAUGAAAAUAGCAUGUCGGUCAUACAUCAUUUUGAAUUUCUACUUUUAUCUUUAAAAGGGAAAAAUACAUAUAAUUAGAAGGGAAUACCACAUUGACAUACUUGUCCCAAUCCCAAAUUUAGAGCUCAACCGAAGCCAAAUUUUAAAAGUUUUGUUAUUUGUAUGGUAUAACAAAUAUAUUUUUUCAAAUUAGAAGGAAAAUCAAAUAUAUUUUUUCAAAUUCAAGACUCGAGUUUUGAAUUAAUGGGAGCUUCUUGUUUUGCUUUACUUUCUUCAGUUAAUUGUUUCAAUCAUUUUAAAUUAUAUAAACACACGCGCACGCACACACACAAUAGCUAGCAUGCAGGUCGUAGUCUUGCCGGGGAGCAUGAAUGUUUCAAUAUAUGCAUGAAACGUACGUCGUUCCAGUAGAUUCCCGCAAACUCUAGUGGAAUCGAAAACAAGAUUUGAGAGAUCCAAUGUUCUUAGAUUGUCAGGCACAACGUUACCAAGUUGCAAUUUAGAAUUAUUGCAAUUUGUAAUCAUGUUUAUUCAAUGCUAAUUCUAGUUAUAAAUAUAAUGCGAUUGAUCAUCUUGAUUUAUAACGUUCUGACUUAUUAAUUUAAAAUAAUCCCAACAAUUAAUUAAUUAAGUUGUAUGACAUAGAACAUGAUCUUUGCGCCUUUUUAGGAGCUGCCAAGUAUCAUAAACAAAGUUAUUGCCUUUACUCGUGAUAAUAACUUAAGUUAUAAGUGUCUAAUUUGUGCUUAUAGUAUACUUGUUGCGCCUUUUUAAUAAACUGUUAAGUAUUAUAAACAAAGUUAUUGUAUUUACUCCUAAUAAUAACUUGAGCUAUAUGUGUUUAUUUUGUGCUCAUAAUAUAUUAUUUGAGGCUUAUGUAAAUACGAAUGUAUAUGUUUAUUAUAAGUCGUAAACAAUCAGUGAAUUAUUUUCAAAUUCUACUAUUUUUAGGCCCAUAUUCACCUGUGGAAAUUAGGGAAAGUAAUUUCUUUUCAUA
rnacentral:lncRNA from 1 species